rnacentral:rRNA from 1 species
UACCAGCACCCCGAGUGGUCGGGACGUUUAUUGGGCCUAAAGCUUCCGUAGCCGGUUCUACAAGUCUUCCGUUAAAUCCAGCUGCUUAACAGAUGGGCUGCGGAAGAUACUAUGGAGCUAGGAGGCGGGAGAGGCAAGCGGUACUCGAUGGGUAGGGGUAAAAUCCGUUGAUCCAUUGAAGACCACCAGUGGCGAAGGCGGCUUGCCAGAACGCGCUCGACGGUGAGGGAUGAAAGCUGGGGGAGCAAACCGG